AAAUGACCUCAAAUCAGGUAAGAAUACCCGCUGAACUUAAGCAUAUCAAUAAGCGGAGGAAAAGAAAAUAACAAUGAUUCCCUUAGUAACGGCGAGUGAAGGGAGAAAAGCUCAAAUUUUAAAUCUGCUAGGUUUUACCUGUCAGAAUUGUAAUUUAAAGAAGCGUUUUCCGCGUCUCGGUUGGCCCAAAUCCUUUGGGAUAAGGUAUCAUGGAGGGUGAGAAUCCCGUUCGGUUGACCUUAUGACGCAUUACGAUACGCUUUCUAAGAGUCGAGUUGUUUGGGAUUGCAGCUCAAAAUGGGAGGUAAAUUUCUCCUAAGGCUAAAUAUCGGCGAGAGACCGAUAGCGAACAAGUACCGUGAGGGAAAGAUGAAAAGAACUUUGAAAAGAGAGUAAAAUAGUACGUGAAAUUGUUGAAAGGGAAACGAUUGAAGUCAGUCGUACCGACGAGAAAUCAGCUUAUCGUGUGUUAACUUGUGGGCGUGCGUGAGUUUCGGCCUCGCUGUUUGCAUGUUUGUGCGCUUUGGGUGUACUUUUUCGUAUGGUUGGCCAACAUCAGUUUCGAUUACUAUAAAAUGACUGGCGGAAUGUAGCUUCGAUUUCGGUUGAAGUGUUAUAGCCUCUGGUAGAUGUGGUGAUUGAGACUGAGGAUUGCAACGAAUAUCCUUUGGGCUAUCCGUCUGGCCUCUGAAAGUUGCUUGGGUGCUGAAAGCUUGCUUAUGGUUAUCUAAGUUAACGGUCAAUAGGUUAGAACGUGAUUACAUUCGUUAAGGAUGUUGGCGUA
rnacentral:rRNA from 1 species